GUGCUCACUUGGGCAGCACUUAUACUAAAAGUAAAACCACGCAGAGAUCAGCACAGCCCCUGCACAAGGAGAACAUGAAUUUGUGAAGCGGUCUAUAUUUUU
rnacentral:snRNA from 1 species